GACGAACGCUGGCGGCGUGCCUAAUACAUGCAAGUAGAACGCACAGUUUAUACCGUAGCUUGCUACACCAUAGACUGUGAGUUGCGAACGGGUGAGUAACGCGUAGGUAACCUGCCUGGUAGCGGGGGAUAACUAUUGGAAACGAUAGCUAAUACCGCAUAAUAUUAAUUAUUGCAUGAUAAUUAAUUGAAAGGUGCAAUUGCACCACUACCAGAUGGACCUGCGUUGUAUUAGCUAGUAGGUGAGGUAACGGCUCACCUAGGCGACGAUACAUAGCCGACCUGAGAGGGUGAUCGGCCACACUGGGACUGAGACACGGCCCAGACUCCUACGGGAGGCAGCAGUAGGGAAUCUUAGGCAAUAGACGAAAGUCUGACCGAGCAACGCCGCGUGAGUGAAGAAGGUUUUCGGAUCGUAAAGCUCUGUUGUAAGAGAAGAACGGGUGUGAGAGUGGAAAGUUCACACUGUGACGGUAUCUUACCAGAAAGGGACGGCUAACUACGUG
rnacentral:rRNA from 1 species